GCCGGGCAUGGUGGUGCAUGCCUGUAAUCCUAGCUACUCGGAAGGCUGAGGCAGGAGAAUUGCUUGAGACUGGAAAACUGAAGUUGCAGUGAGCCAGGAUCGCGCCACUGCACUCCAGCCUGGCAAUAGAGCGAGACUCUGUCUCAA
rnacentral:sRNA from 1 species